CAAAGAAAGUCUUAAAGGAGAGGGAACCGAAAUUUUCAUUCCCUCUGUUAUCUCCCUCAAAUAUUUUCCCCUUUUUAUUUCAGUCAAAAACAAAAAACUAUCAUCGCCGCCCCAUGUCUAUCAUCGCAGCCCCAUGUCUAUCAUCGCCGCCAUAGAUACUCUCAUCGCCGCCCUUGCUGCUCUUCAUCCUUCGAACCCAAAUCUACAGUGAGGGGUGCUAUUACGAAAAUCUUCAAAGAAAAUUUUCAAGGUGCAUGGUCAUGUUGGAGUGCUGUUGAUUCGACCACACGAGAUUUUUUAUUUGAAGACUUUAAGGUCAUUUUAUUAAGUAAUUGAGGCCAAAUACAAAUGGCUUGAAAAGGAUGAAGCUAGCAUUAAAAAAGCUUUAAUAGUAGGGGAACAUUGGCCCUGAAAAAUGCUUUGUUCAAGGUUCGUAGUGGUAAAGAUAAAAGUGAAUGGAUUGAUGAAGAUAUGUUAAAAGAAUUAAGGGAUCAAUGGAACGGUGAAACUUGGCAAAAUAUUUCUAAGAUUAAUACACAAAACAGAAAGUCUCAAGCUAGACAUAAUGUGCACAGUGGAGGAUCCAUUUCUGCCAGAGAACAUGCCAAAAAAAUGAGGAUGGAAUUGAAUAGAGAGCCAACAUGUUUUGAUGUUUAUCAGAGAAUGCAUAAACCAAAGGAAAAAUCAAAUGAGUGGUUUAACAAAGAACAAGCUCUUAUAGCUCUAA